GGGAAGGUGGCUCAGUGGUAGAGUGCUUGCCUUGCAUGCAUGAGGCCCUGGGUUCGAUUCCUCAG
rfam:Dipodomys ordii contig_57007, whole genome shotgun sequence.